AACGAACGCUGGCGGCAUGCCUAACACAUGCAAGUCGAACGAGACCUUCGGGUCUAUUGGCGCACGGGUGCGUACCGCCUGGUAACUUGCCCUUAGGUUCGGUAUACCUCCCCGACAGGUGUCCUAAUACCGGAUAUUGUCUUCGGGCCAAAGAUUUAUCGCCUUUGGAUGGGCCUGCGUUGGAUUCGCGAGUUGGUAGUGUAAAAGCCUAUCACGGCGACGUUCCAUAGCUGGUCUGUGAGGAUGAUCAGCCACGCUGGGACUGAGACACGGCCCAGACUCCUACGGGGCGCAGGAGUGGAGAAUAUUAGACAAUGAGCGAAGGCCUGAUCCAGCAAUGCCGCGGGAGUGAUGAAGGGCUUAGGGUUGUAAAGCUCUUUGAGCCGGGGUGAGAAUGACAGUACCGGGAGAAUAAGCGCCGGCUAACUACGUG
rnacentral:rRNA from 1 species